rnacentral:rRNA from 1 species
CCUACGGGGGGCUGCAGUGGGGAAUAUUGGACAAUGGGCGAAAGCCUGAUCCAGCAAUACCGCGUGUGUGAAGAAGGCCUGAGGGUUGUAAAGCACUUUCAAUAGGAAGGAAUACCUGUCGGUUAAUACCCGGCAGACUGACAUUACCUAUACAAGAAGCACCGGCUAACUCCGUGCCAGCAGCCGCGGUAAUACGGAGGGUGCAAGCGUUAAUCGGAGUUACUGGGCGUGAUUCGUGCAGAGGCAGGUAAAAGCCCUGGGCUUAACCUGGGAACUGCAUUUGAUACUGGGUAACUAGAGUUUAGUAGAGGGGAGUGGAAUUUCAGGUGUAGCGGUGAAAUGCGUAGAGAUCUGAAGGAACACCAGUGGCGAAGGCGGCUCCCUGGACUAAAACUGACGCUGAGGUACGAAAGCGUGGGUAGCAAACAGGAUUAGAUACCCCUGUAGUC